GUGGUACCCGCUUCGGCAGCACAUUUACUAAAAUUGGAAUGAUACAGAGAAGAUUAGCAGGGCCCCUGCACAAGGAUGACAUGCAGUUCAUGAAACAUUCCAUAUUUUU